rnacentral:rRNA from 1 species
CGGGAAGCCUCGCGUGUGCUCGUAGAUUAGAGUUUGAUCCUGGCUCAGAUUGAACGCUGGCGGCAGGCCUAACACAUGCAAGUCGAGCGGUAACAUUUCUAGCUUGCUAGAAGAUGACGAGCGGCGGACGGGUGAGUAAUGCUUGGGAACAUGCCUUGAGGUGGGGGACAACAGUUGGAAACGACUGCUAAUACCGCAUAAUGUCUACGGACCAAAGGGGGCUUCGGCUCUCGCCUUUAGAUUGGCCCAAGUGGGAUUAGCUAGUUGGUGAGGUAAUGGCUCACCAAGGCGACGAUCCCUAGCUGGUUUGAGAGGAUGAUCAGCCACACUGGGACUGAGACACGGCCCAGACUCCUACGGGAGGCAGCAGUGGGGAAUAUUGCACAAUGGGCGCAAGCCUGAUGCAGCCAUGCCGCGUGUGUGAAGAAGGCCUUCGGGUUGUAAAGCACUUUCAGUCAGGAGGAAAGGUUAGUAGUUAAUACCUGCUAGCCGUGACGUUACUGACAGAAGAAGCACCGGCUAACUCCGUGCCAGCCGCCGCGGUAA